rnacentral:lncRNA from 1 species
UGUAUGUUUGCCCUUGCUGUGAAGAGAGUGAGAGAUUGGGAGAGAAGAUAUUUGAAUUUUAACAACCUCAGAACAAAAUUUAAAAUUCUCCUUUUUCAAAAGCCAAAAUAUAAGACAGUUGCUCUGUUAGUCUGUUUUGACACUAUGAAACCAGCUCUAUAAAUAUACUUUCCCAGGCUAUCAUGGUUUAACGGACAGAUCGGGCCGAGGGGAUUGGCAUCAUUGACAUAUGUUUAAAGUCUUCAUGGGUUUAAUGGACGAUACUAGUGGGUCCGUAUUAUGGUACUGGCUUCAGACCGGGUUGAUGUCAUGGUUGGCUCGAUUUUCAUGCAAUGGUUUAAUGAUCGGAUCAAGUGGGUAUGUAUCAUAGGAUCGGAUUGAGAUUGGGCCGACAUCGUCGGUAACAUGGUGUCGGC